UCGAACGAGGUGCUUUUUGUAGCAAUACGAGGAGUAUCCUAGUGGCGAACGGGUGAGUAACGCGUGGGUGACCUACCCCAAAGUGUGGAAUAACAGUCCGAAAGGAUUGCUAAUGCCGCAUGUGGUCUGCGAGUUUAGAAAUCGUUGACUAAAGGAGCAAUUCGCUUUGGGAGGGACCUGCGUCCCAUCAGCUAGUUGGUGAGGUAACGGCUCACCAAGGCUACGACGGGUAGGGGACCUGAGAGGGUGGCCCCCCACAAUGGAACUGAAACACGGUCCAUACACCUACGGGUGGCAGCAGUAGGGAAUAUUGCACAAUGGGCGAAAGCCUGAUGCAGCAACGCCGCGUGCGCGAUGAAGGUCUUCGGAUCGUAAAGCGCUUUUCUGAGAGAUGAGAAAGGACAGUAUCUCAGGAAUAAGUCUCGGCUAACUACGUGCCAGCAGCCGCGGUAAAACGUAGGAGGCGAGCGUUAUCCGGAUUCACUGGGCGUAAAGCGCGUGCAGGUGGUUCGGUAAGUUGGGCGUGAAAUCUCCCGGCUCAACUGGGAGAGGUCGUUCAAUACUACCGGACUUGAGAGCAGAAGAGGAAGAUGGAAUUCCCGGUGUAGUGGUGAAAUGCGUAGAUAUCGGGAGGAACACCAGUGGCGAAGGCGAUCUUCUGGUCUGUUUCUGACACUCAGACGCGACAGCUAGGGUAGUAAACGGGAUUAGAGACCCCGGUAAUCCUAGCCGUAAACGAUGUGAACUUGGCGUUGGUGGGUUAAACUCCAUCAGUGCCGAAGCAAACGCGAUAAGUUCACCGCCUGGGGACUACGGCCGCAAGGUUAAAACUCAAAGGAAUUGAC
rnacentral:rRNA from 1 species